GAUGAACGCUGGCGGUGUGCCUAACACAUGCAAGUCGAACGAGCCUUCGGGCUAGUGGCGGACGGGUGAGUAACACGUUAGUACCUGCCCUUUAGUGGGGAAUAACUCGGCGAAAGUCGAGCUAAUACCGCAUGUGACCGUUUACGGUUAAAGACUUCGGUCGCUAAAGGAGGGCUUGCGUCUGAUUAGCUAGUUGGUAGGGUAAAGCCUACCAAGGCGAUGAUCAGUAGCUGGUUCGAGAGGAUGACCAGCCACACGCGGACU
rnacentral:rRNA from 1 species